rnacentral:rRNA from 1 species
CUGGUUGAUCCUGCCAGAGGUUACUGCUAUCAGNUGUCCGAUUAAGCCAUGCGAGCUUAAAUGUUCUUCGUGAACAUGGCGUACUGCUCAGUAACACGUGGAUAACCUGCCCUAAGGUCCGGCAUAACCCCGGGAAACUGGGGAUAAUACCGGAUAAACCAUAGAUACUGGAAUGUUCUGUGGUUAAAAGUUCCGGCGCCUUAGGAUGGAUCUGCGGCCUAUCAGGUAGUAGUGGGUGUAAAGUACCUACUAGCCGACGACGGGUACGGGUUGUGAGAGCAAGAGCCCGGAGAUGGAUUCUGAGACAUGAAUCCAGGCCCUACGGGGCGCAGCAGGCGCGAAAUCUUUACAAUGCGGGAAACCGCGAUAAGGGGACACCGAGUGCCAGCAUACAAUGCUGGCUGUCCACAUGUGUAAAUAGCAUGUGAUAGCAAGGGCCGGGCAAGACCGGUGCCAGCCGCCGCGGUAACACCGGCGGCCCGAGUGGUAAUCACUAUUAUUGGGUCUAAAGGGUCCGUAGCCGGUUUAAUCAGUCUUCCGGGAAAUCUGACAGCUCAACUGUUAGGCUACCGGGGGA